CCCACUCUGUCCGCAAGAGGCUCUUGGAAUUACGAGUUACAUUUGGCAGGCAGGCGGGCUCGCAUGCCGGAGUGCUCAGCCCAGAAUUAGUGGAUUUAUUCGGAAUCUCCUUGCCUCCUCAAAUCUCCUCCGCCGUCGCCGGUCUGUGCACAGACGGUCCCGCGCACCCUCCCGCUCGCUGCACUUCGGGCCGCGGACACCCAGAGCCCAGCGCGCCCGACCCGCGUCUCCACACCGAGCCCCGCAGCUCCGAGAGGCAUGAACGGGAUCCGGAGGCGCCUGCCCGGCGCGCAGGAACCGCUGGGUGCUCGCCGCUCUCGGGAGCCGACCCCGAGCACCUGCAGCCGUUUGUGAACCGGGAGGCUUGACAUUCCCCAGCGCGGAGCCCCUCAAGAGAAAUUUCAACGAAAAGGAACACCAAUGGAUCGUAGUCUUAGAAAAGCGGCGUAGAUAAUGUCUGUUUCCUGUGCUAUAAACUCGUCGCAGAGCUGUAAGUAAAUGCUCCGCACUGCAUGAUGAAUUGGAUGGCUGCAGACCGGAGGCAAAAAAAAUAAUUGUCUCAUUUUCAUGGUGAUUUGCUUAACUGGUGGGACCAUGCCAGAACGGCUAGCGGAAAUGCUCUUGGAUCUCUGGACUCCAUUAAUAAUAUUAUGGAUUACUCUUCCCCCUUGCAUUUACAUGGCCCCGAUGAAUCAGUCUCAAGUUUUAAUGAGUGGAUCCCCUUUGGAACUAAACAGGCUGACUGAAGAACAGCGGAUUUUGAACCGCUCCAAAAGAGGCUGGGUUUGGAAUCAAAUGUUUGUCCUGGAAGAGUUUUCUGGACCUGAACCGAUUCUCGUU